GAUGAACGCUGGCGGCGUGCCUAAUACAUGCAAGUCGAACGGGGAGUAGCAAUACUCUUAGUGGCGAACGGGUGAGUAACGCGUUGGUACCUGCCCCGAAGCGGGGGAUAACGGACCGAAAGGUCCGCUAAUACCCCAUGUGCUCGGUAACGAGUAAAGGUGAAAACCACUUUGGGAGGGGCAUGCGUCCCAUCAGCUAGUUGGUAAGGUAACGGCUUACCAAGGCGAUGACGGGUAGGGGACCUGAGAGGGUGGCCCCCCACAAUGGAACUGAAACACGGUCCAUACACCUACGGGUGGCAGCAGUAGGGAAUAUUGGUAAUGGGCGCAAGCCUGAACCAGCAACACCGCGUGUGCGAUGACGGCCUUCGGGUUGUAAAGCACUUUUGACUGGGACGAGGAAGGACGGUACCGGUCGAAUCAGCCUCGGCUAACUACGUG
rnacentral:rRNA from 1 species